ensembl:lncRNA
AUACACAUGCUUUUAUCGGAUACCUACUGUAGAAGAGUGAUGCAACAGAUGGAGGCGGACCCAGGUAGGUGCACGGCUAUCGCCGGUGUUGAUUCCCAGAAGUGAAGGGGAGAAGACAAAAGCGGGAGGAAUGGGGGAACCGGGAACAGAUGGGUUGGGGCCAUGUUCCUGGGACGGCUGUGUCCCAUUGGGCUCGGGAACAGGGUCUGUGUCAGUCAGGGGUCUCUCGGGGUUUGUCUCUCGGGGUUUGUCUCCUUCUUUCCUCUCUCUCUCUCUCCCUUCACCGGCAGGUCCGGGGAAAGAAAUAUAGACAGCAAUCAGUCCCAGUUGCGGCUGUCUUACCUCGGGCUUCGCCCCCUUCCCCGCCGCCUCAGCAUGCUACAAGCGCACAUGCGAUUCCAGAAUGUUUUACAACCAGAAGUCCUUCACUGAUGUGUUUCUGAGUUUGUUUCUCACUCUUUUUUUUGAGUAGUUUUUCAGUAUUUUUUUGGCAGACCACGGAAUCACUGAAUUAAACAUUACACAUGACAAACGCCUCCAGUCAUAUAGAUCCAACAAUUUUCUGUUUUUCUAUAAGGCUACAUUUUGUACUUGGAAAAAAUUUAUAGCGUAUAAAUAUGCUAUGUCUAUUACAAGGGGCAAUGGAAAAAAUAGUCAUACCCCUGGUUGAUUUAAUGCUUGAACUCUUUGGCAGUCACCGAAAGAUUAUUGCUCCACCCCUUAACUGCAUGUUUUCUUUUCAGGUUUCAGGGAGGGGAUUUGUGAAUAUAGUCCUGGAGCUGAACUACUACUGCUCUCAUCGGCUGCGAUGCUGCACAUGAGCAAACAUCAAGAGGAGAAGUUUACUGUCAUGCAAAAACGGUGCCAAAAGACAGCAAUCCCUGACUUGGAACGGAAUUCAACAACUUUGAAAUCCCAAAAAUGUUUACACAAACGAAUUAUCGUCUACUUGUUUCUUAGCCUACAAACUCAUCUGGGCAAUGGGGAGAAUGCCUGCAAACAUGUAAAGGUGACUCCCUUUGGCAUGCCUUCACAGUCCAACUGUGAGUGUUCUUCUGUAUGUACUUCAGAGGACAAAUGCAUAACAGAAGGACAGGUAUGCGGAACAGAAGCACAAGACUUCCGUUGCAUUGUUACUUACAAAAAGAAAGAACAAGAUUGUAUUCCUUUAAAUGGAACAUCAGCAACACAGUGUUACACUGGAAAUGGGAUUUUCGUGUCCAACAUGCCAGGGUGUUUUAAUGAGAACAUUAUAAUUUGUAAAACAGCUCUUGAUAUCGAAUUUACCGGAUGCAAAAUAAAUCCAACUUCCAUAUCUGAAUCAAGAUCUCCUACAGAAAACCCACCUAGCUCAAGAGUAGGAGGAGAGAAUCCUGGACUCAUACCUGCCAGCGUUGCUGUUCUUGCCCUUGUCCUCUUUGUUAUAGGAGCUGCUAUGGCUCCAGCCCACUGCAACCCUGCCCUGGACAAAGAGAAUGAUGAAAAUGGGGGACCGGGAAGGAGAGUAAAAACCACCCUUAAAAUUCAAUGA